rnacentral:misc_RNA from 1 species
CACGAACCGUACGAACGUUAUUCGGAAUUACUGGGCUUAGAGGGUUUGUAGGCGGCCACGUAAGUCAGGUGUGAAAUCCCUCGGCUCAACCGAGGAAUGGCGCUUGAUACGGCGUGGCUUGAGGGAGACAGGGGUAAGCGGAACUGAUGGUGGAGCGGUGAAAUGCGUUGAUAUCAUCAGGAACACCGGUGGCGAAAGCGGCUUACUGCGUCACUUCUGACGCUGAGGAACGAAAGCUAGGGUAGCGAACGGG